rnacentral:rRNA from 1 species
UACGUAGGGUGCGAGCGUUAAUCGGAAUUACUGGGCGUAAAGUGUGCGCAGGUGGCCGCGCAAGUCGAGUGUGAAAUCCCCGAGCUUAACUUGGGAAUUGCGCUCGAAACUACGUGGCUCGAGUGUGGCAGAGGAAGGUGGAAUUCCACGUGUAGCGGUGAAAUGCGUAGAUAUCAAGUGGAACACCAGAGGCGAAGGCGAAUCCCUGGAAAAUACCUGACACUGAGGCACGAAAGCUAGGGGAGCAAACAGG